rnacentral:pre_miRNA from 1 species
UUAGAUUGGUUAUAGAUGAAUUGGAGCUAGUAGUUGGCUAUACUAUUGAACUUGCUCUAAUAGUAUAGCCAACUACGGGCUCCAAUUCAUCUAUAGCCA